UACGUAGGAUGCAAGCGUUAUCCGGAAUGACUGGGCGUAAAGGGUGCGUAGGUGGUUUGCCAAGUUGGCAGCGUAAUUCCGUGGCUUAACCGCGGAACUACUGCCAAAACUGGUAGGCUUGAGUGCGGCAGGGGUAUGUGGAAUUCCUAGUGUAGCGGUGGAAUGCGUAGAUAUUAGGAGGAACACCAGUGGCGAAAGCGACAUACUGGGCCGUAACUGACACUGAGGCACGAAAGCGUGGGGAGCAA
rnacentral:rRNA from 1 species